GACGUAGGGCGCAAGCGUUGUCCGGAUUUAUUGGGCGUAAAGAGCUCGUAGGCGGCCUGUCGCGUCGACCGUGAAAACCCGCAGCUCAACUGCGGGCUUGCGGUCGAUACGGGCUAGCUAGAGUGUGGUAGGGGAGAUCGGAAUUCCUGGUGUAGCGGUGAAAUGCGUUGAUAUCAGGAGGAACACCCAUGGCGAAGGCAGCUAACUGGGCAUUAUCUGACGCUGAGGCGCGAAAGCGUGGGUAGCAAACAGG
rnacentral:rRNA from 1 species